ACCAAACGUGUUGGUUGUGUUUGCGUAUUAAUUAGCAUAUAAAUAUUCUUAUAAAAUAAAUAUAAAUACUGACUGACGUUUAUAAUAAUAUUAAAAAUAAACUGACGUCAUUUCAAUAUUACAAAAGUCAACGAUCUAAAGAUCGUUUCAAAGAUAGGUAUAUAUUCUAAAGUUAAAUUGUAUAUAACAGAUUUCGCAGUUUUUUGUAUACUUACAUAACAAACUAAGUACUUUGUAACUAAGCAAUUAAACUUACGUAACAAAUACUUACAGCUUUAUUUUGGCGUUUUCAUUUAAUUGAAUUUCAGUUAAUAUUGGGGAUUUGUCGUCAGUUACAUUUGAAAUACUUUCUUAUGAUCAUAGUUGUAUAUAAUAUACAAUAUGAUUCAGAUAAUCAUAUACAGUAUAUUGGCGUGUAUCACUCUGUUAGCCGCGGUGGAAGCUGUCAGGUCCUGCUGGAGGGAUGAAGAUGACACCAAGAGGAGUGCCAGGCUUUGGAGUGCUCCAGUUGAAGUACUGAAGAACAAAUUGAAAGGGAUGAAGACGCUGAAAGAAGAGAAGCCGACGGGCGAGCAAGCAAGUACAGGCGUCGUGGAGACCGUGUGACGGCGACGACUGACCGGACUACGACUGAGAUCUCUAUUGCUAUACAAUUAUAGUUUAAAUUAGAGAAACUUACGUAACCUGUGUGAAGUGUUUAGUAAACGGUGAUUAUAAGGUCUGAUAUUACGUAAUCACAUAACAUGAAUAUGAAUAUCAUGUGUGUUUGCGGGUUGACUCAUCGCUCUGCCAACUCCGAUAGGAAUACGAGCGUGAUUUUAUGUAGAAAUUGUAUGAUACAUAAUUACUUAUGUAAAGUUAAUUUACGAAAAGUUUUUUUUAGUAAAUUGAUUGGAGUUAGGAAGUACUCCACCAAUCCGUAGUGGAGUAUGCUGGUAUGCUCCAUAACCCCUCCGAUGGAUGAGUGGUGGCCAUAAAUGGGAUUAAAAAGAAUGAAAAGAAAAAAUAUUUAUUUUUCACAAUUGGUUUACAUAGUUAGCGCUUUUUGAACGUCAAAAAUUAAAUUACAUUUAUGUAAUUAGCUGUAAAACUACUACCACAUUGGAAGCUGUAUCGCUGAGGAAAACACGUGGCCAGAAAACCUCCCAGCACAGGGCCCUACUCCUAGUGUUUCAUGCACUUUUUGUUUAUAUUAUACAUAAGUAUAAUAAUAAUAAUUACCUAUUAUAAUAUUUGACCCACAAUCCUGUAAUGUAUUAUGAAAUAUUGUAACGGAGUUAUGCUAGUAAGUAUGGAACUAUUUGUUAUACAAUGAAUCUUGUGGCCUGCUCCCUUAUUUCAUCACCAGCCCAUUAACGUCCCCACUGCUGGGGCACGGGCCUUCCCUAUGGAUGGAUAGGGAGAUCGGGCCUUAAACCACCACGCGGGCCCAGUGCGGAUUGGUGGUUAUUAACGACUGCUAAUGCAGCCGGGACCAACGGCUUAAUGUGCCUCCCUUAUUUACCAUAGUUUAAAGAUCUGAAAGACAUUCCAAAUAGCUGUUUUAUAUUUGACUGGGUCAAAGAUAAAUUAUAAAAUGUUAAUCAAGAAAUAUAAACCAGUCUAAGAUGAUUAAAAAUCAAUGUUAAUAUUAUUUAUGAUUUAUUUUCGAAUUUUAAUUACGAAUUAAGAAACUAUGAGUACGACGGUUGACUUCUUUUAUUUAUGUUGUCACUCGAAAAGUAUUUCCAUAAGUAAUUAAAUUCUAUAAAAAAAAAAAUCGUUUUGACGUUUCGUUAAAAGUAUCUCAUUUGACUAUUGGCCUUAAAAUGUAACUAAGUACACUUAUGUAAAAAUACAUUUUUUUACGAACUUUUAAAGCAGAUGUGUUUAGGCUUAAGGUUAGUUAAGUUACUUAAUUAAAUAUACUCAAAUUGCAGAUUUUUUAUCGUUUCAUUUGUAUUUUGUUUUUAAUAAAAUUUGAUGAAAUGCAGGCGAUGGUCGAAGGCCAAAGAUGCUUGGUUGAGAUUGCAACAUUUUGGCCUUUAGCGAUUUUGGCGAUAGCAAUUUAUGUUCAGACGAAAUACCACUUAACGAAUAAAAACGAAUAAAUUUGCAUGGCCAGAAUGGGGACCGGGUGGUGUAAUGGUUAACACACUCAUCUGGGCUUGACUGACUGACUUGGAGUUAGACUUUUUCGAUUUAUUAUUCUCUUUGCGACUUAGUUUUUAAGUUUUGUUACUAGUUAUUAACCAAUUUGUCUGUGUUACCUACUUCAAUAAAAAGUUUAUUAUUAUCACUCA
rnacentral:lncRNA from 1 species